GGCCAUAGUGGGUGAUAGCCCUGUACGCGAAAAUCCCUUUGCAAUGAAAUCGAGUAGGACGGGGCACGAGAAACCUUGUCUGAAUAUGGGGGGACCAUCCUCCAAGGCUAAAUACUACUGACUGACCGAUAGUGAACCAGUACCGUGAGGGAAAGGCGAAAAGAACCGCGGAGAGCGGAGUGAAAUAGAUCCUGAAACCGUAUGCGUACAAGCAGUGGGAGCCCACUUUGUUGGGUGACUGCGUACCUUUUGUAUAAUGGGUCAGCGACUUAUUUUCAGUGGCGAGCUUAACCGAAUAGGGGAGGCGUAGCGAAAGCGAGUCUUAAUAGGGCGUCUAGUCGCUGGGAAUAGACCCGAAACCGGGCGAUCUAUCCAUGGGCAGGUUGAAGGUUGGGUAACACUAACUGGAGGACCGAACCGACUACCGUUGAAAAGUUAGCGGAUGACCUGUGGAUCGGAGUGAAAGGCUAAUCAAGCUCGGAGAUAGCUGGUUCUCCUCGAAAGCUAUUUAGGUAGCGCCUCAUGUAUCACUGUAGGGGGUAGAGCACUGUUUCGGCUAGGGGGUCAUCCCGACUUACCAAACCGAUGCAAACUCCGAAUACCUACAAGUGCCGAGCAUGGGAGACACACGGCGGGUGCUAACGUCCGUCGUGAAAAGGGAAACAACCCAGACCGUCAGCUAAGGUCCCAAAGUCAUGGUUAAGUGGGAAACGAUGUGGGAAGGCUUAGACAGCUAGGAGGUUGGCUUAGAAGCAGCCACCCUUUAAAGAAAGCGUAAUAGCUCACUAGUCGAGUCGGCCUGCGCGGAAGAUGUAACGGGGCUCAAACCAUGCACCGAAGCUACGGGUAUCAUCUUAGGAUGAUGCGGUAGAGGAGCGUUCUGUAAGCCUGUGAAGGUGAGUUGAGAAGCUUGCUGGAGGUAUCAGAAGUGCGAAUGCUGACAUGAGUAACGACAAUGGGUGUGAAAAACACCCACGCCGAAAGACCAAGGUUUCCUGCGCAACGUUAAUCGACGCAGGGUUAGUCGGUCCCUAAGGCGAGGCUGAAAAGCGUAGUCGAUGGAAAACAGGUUAAUAUUCCUGUACUUCUGGUUAUUGCGAUGGAGGGACGGAGAAGGCUAGGCCAGCCUGGCGUUGGUUGUCCAGGUUUAAGGUGGUAGGCUGAGAUCUUAGGUAAAUCCGGGAUCUCAAGGCCGAGAGCUGAUGACGAGUGUUCUUUUAGAACACGAAGUGGUUGAUGCCAUGCUUCCAAGAAAAGCUUCUAAGCUUCAGGUAACCAGGAACCGUACCCCAAACCGACACAGGUGGUUGGGUAGAGAAUACCAAGGCGCUUGAGAGAACUCGGGUGAAGGAACUAGGCAAAAUGGCACCGUAACUUCGGGAGAAGGUGCGCCGGUGGAGGUGAAGCAUUUACUGCGUAAGCCCCUGCCGGUCGAAGAUACCAGGCCGCUGCGACUGUUUAUUAAAAACACAGCACUCUGCAAACACGAAAGUGGACGUAUAGGGUGUGACGCCUGCCCGGUGCCGGAAGGUUAAUUGAUGGGGUUAGCGCAAGCGAAGCUCUUGAUCGAAGCCCCGGUAAACGGCGGCCGUAACUAUAACGGUCCUAAGGUAGCGAAAUUCCUUGUCGGGUAAGUUCCGACCUGCACGAAUGGCGUAACGAUGGCGGCGCUGUCUCCACCCGAGACUCAGUGAAAUUGAAAUCGCUGUGAAGAUGCAGUGUAUCCGCGGCUAGACGGAAAGACCCCGUGAACCUUUACUAUAGCUUUGCACUGGACUUUGAAUUUGCUUGUGUAGGAUAGGUGGGAGGCUUUGAAGCGUCGACGCCAGUCUGCGUGGAGCCAACCUUGAAAUACCACCCUGGCAACUUUGAGGUUCUAACUCAGGUCCGUUAUCCGGAUCGAGGACAGUGUAUGGUGGGUAGUUUGACUGGGGCGGUCUCCUCCUAAAGAGUAACGGAGGAGUACGAAGGUGCGCUCAGACCGGUCGGAAAUCGGUCGUAGAGUAUAAAGGCAAAAGCGCGCUUGACUGCGAGACAGACACGUCGAGCAGGUACGAAAGUAGGUCUUAGUGAUCCGGUGGUUCUGUAUGGAAGGGCCAUCGCUCAACGGAUAAAAGGUACUCCGGGGAUAACAGGCUGAUACCGCCCAAGAGUUCAUAUCGACGGCGGUGUUUGGCACCUCGAUGUCGGCUCAUCACAUCCUGGGGCUGAAGCCGGUCCCAAGGGUAUGGCUGUUCGCCAUUUAAAGUGGUACGCGAGCUGGGUUUAGAACGUCGUGAGACAGUUCGGUCCCUAUCUGCCGUGGACGUUUGAGAUUUGAGAGGGGCUGCUCCUAGUACGAGAGGACCGGAGUGGACGAACCUCUGGUGUUCCGGUUGUCACGCCAGUGGCAUUGCCGGGUAGCUAUGUUCGGAAAAGAUAACCGCUGAAAGCAUCUAAGCGGGAAACUUGCCUCAAGAUGAGAUCUCACUGGAACCUUGAGUUCCCUGAAGGGCCGUCGAAGACUACGACGUUGAUAGGUUGGGUGUGUAAGCGCUGUGAGGCGUUGAGCUAACCAAUACUAAUUGCCCGUGAGGCUUGACCAUAUAACACCCAAGCAAUU
rnacentral:rRNA from 1 species